UGCUCCGAUGGCAUAGUGGUUAGAGCGUCCGCCUCGGAUGCGGGAGGUCUCGGGUUCAAUCCCCAACCGAGCCA